GCGGGCGUGGCGGAAUUGGCAGACGCGCCAGAUUUAGGUUCUGGUGGCAACCCCGUGCAGGUUCAAGUCCUGUCGCCCGCACCA
rnacentral:tRNA from 2 species